GUAUCUGUAUUUCUGAUAAUGAUAGUCAUAGAUCUAACACUCAGCUCUAUCUAUUAAUGUAUGCUUCCAGAAGAGCACCCUCAGCACAGUCUUUGACCCUAAUUUAAAGCAUGGCUGCUAUUUUUAGAUCCUAGGUACUUCACAUUUUGUCCCCUAGUCACUCAGAAUAUGACUCAGAUAUUCACAAACAUGACUGAAAGGAGCAGCACUACUUUCUUACAAUUAAAAUUGUUCUGCAAUUAAAGGAAAGAAAUAAAAUACUAUCAUCUAUGUAAAUAAUAUCUAUCUUUCUCAUGCAACUAUGAAAUGAAAGAGAUUUUUUUUUCAGUCCUACGUUUCAUCUCUUUUCAUACUAUUAACCACUGUUUUCCCCAAGGUAGAGAGGACCUGACACUACGUGAUUAUUGGUCCUGAAUCUAAAACUCCACCUUUGAUUAUGAGAUCAGAAAGAGAGAACAGCAUCUUUAUUUCAACCAUCAUUAGUGUUUCAACAAAAGGGUUUCCUUGGUCAUCUUUUAUAUCUCUCCAGACCACAGGAAAUCACUGCAGUUAAUAGAGUUAAACAAAAGUGAAAGGAAAAAUGGACUCAUCAGGCAAAGAUGGAGCCUACUAAUGAGGUACUUCCUUCUGAAAACAUUCAGGCUUUGUCACAAUUUGUCUGUCCACAUUCAAAUGGAAAGUACAAUUAGCAAAUAACAAGUACAGAAAACAGGUGGGGCAGGAUUGUGAGAAGUUGCUAUGUCUGUCCUGAUCCAAUGUGAUCAUCUUCUCUUAAACCAUUCCUAAAAAUUGUUUAAUUUAUUCUUUAGAACUAUCUAUUCCACAGUCCAUCUAUUCCAAUAAUUAACUAUCCCUAUAGUUUGAAAAUUCUAGUUAUAUAAUCUGAAAUUUCCCUUUUCUAUUUGGUUCCAAUGACCCAUUUAGAGUCUAAUAUUAUCCCUACCAGAAUCUGUUUUGCACAACUGAUGAAGAAGCCUAAAGGUAAGUAGUACCAUAACUAGGAUCCUUAUUCAAGUACCUAAAGUCAGGAAUAAUUAAUGCAGGUGACGCUGCUUACAGUGUUGUGCUGAUAUAUGAGAGGAAGAAUAUCUGUAAUGCACAAAUUCAGCAAGCAAGUUUAAAAUGUCAGUCACCUUAGACUGCAUCAAAGGAAAGAAUAUUUUUUUCAGAGUGAUUCAGAGAAGUACUAGCUUUGCUGCUCCAAAUUAGUCUCUGGAAAAACCCUGUUGACUAUACAGAAUUACAUCAGGUAGUAUUCCUGGUUUUUUGUUUGUUUGUUUGUUUGUUUGUUUGUUGUUUUUUUCUUCCCCCCCUUGGAAUUGAAGUU
rnacentral:lncRNA from 1 species